rnacentral:rRNA from 1 species
GACGAACGCUGGCGGCGUGCUUAACACAUGCAAGUCGAACGGUGAAGCGCCUUCCUUUUUGGUGGGUGUGGAUGAGUGGCGAACGGGUGAGUAACACGUGAGUAACCUGCCCCCUUCUUCUGGAUAACCGCAUGAAAGUGUGGCUAAUACGGGAUAUUCUGGGUCUGUCGCAUGAUGGGUCUGGGAAAGAUAUUGUUUCGGUGGGGGAUGGGCUCGCGGCCUAUCAGCUUGUUGGUGGGGUGAUGGCCUACCAAGGCGGUGACGGGUAACCGGCCUGAGAGGGUGGACGGUCACACUGGGACUGAGACACGGCCCAGACUCCUACGGGAGGCAGCAGUGGGGAAUAUUGCACAAUGGGCGCAAGCCUGAUGCAGCGACGCCGCGUGAGGGAUGGAGGCCUUCGGGUUGUGAACCUCUUUCGCCAGUGAAGCAGGCCUGCCUCGUUUGUGGGUGGGUUGACGGUAGCUGGAUAAGAAGCGCCGGCUAACUACGUG